GACGAACGCUGGCGGCGUGCCUAAUACAUGCAAGUAGAACGCUGAAGGAGGAGCUUGCUUCUCUGGAUGAGUUGCGAACGGGUGAGUAACGCGUAGGUAACCUGCCUGGUAGCGGGGGAUAACUAUUGGAAACGAUAGCUAAUACCGCAUAAUAGUAGAUGUUGCAUGACAUUUGCUUAAAAGGUGCAAUUGCAUCACUACCAGAUGGACCUGCGUUGUAUUAGCUAGUUGGUGGGGUAACGGCUCACCAAGGCGACGAUACAUAGCCGACCUGAGAGGGGGAUCGGCCACACUGGGACUGAGACACGGCCCAGACUCCUACGGGAGGCAGCAGGAGGGAAUCUUCGGCAAUGGACGGAAGUCUGACCGAGCAACGCCGCGGGAGGGAAGAAGGGUGUCGGAUCGUAAAGCUCUGUUGUAAGAGAAGAACGAGUGUGAGAGUGGAAAGUUCACACUGUGACGGUAUCUUACCAGAAAGGGACGGCUAACUACGUG
rnacentral:rRNA from 1 species